ACGAACGCUGGCGGCAUGCCUAAUACAUGCAAGUCGAACGAACACUUCGGUGUUAGUGGCGCACGGGUGCGUAACGCGUGGGGAUCUACCCUUGGGUUCGGAAUAACAGUGGGAAACUACUGCUAAUACCGGAUGAUGACGUAAGUCCAAAGAUUUAUCGCCCAGGGAUGAGCCCGCGUAGGAUUAGCUAGUUGGUAAGGUAAAAGCUUACCAAGGCUACGAUCCUUAGCUGGUCUGAGAGGAUGAUCAGCCACACUGGGACUGAGACACGGCCCAGACUCCUACGGGAGGCAGCAGUAGGGAAUAUUGGACAAUGGGCGAAAGCCUGAUCCAGCAAUGCCGCGUGAGUGAUGAAGGCCUUAGGGUUGUAAAGCUCUUUUACCCGGGAUGAUAAUGACAGUACCGGGAGAAUAAGCCCCGGCUAACUCCGU
rnacentral:rRNA from 1 species